rfam:Candidatus Woesearchaeota archaeon CG1_02_47_18 cg1_0.2_scaffold_1299_c, whole genome shotgun sequence.
GGGCCUAUAGCUCAGCCUGGUUAGAGCGAUCGGCUCUUAACCGAUAGGUCGAGGGUCCGAAUCCCUCUAGGCCCG